rnacentral:tRNA from 2 species
UGCCCGAUGGUGUAAUGGCAACACAUCUGGUUUUGGUCCAGACAUUCUAGGUUCGAGUCCUAGUCGGGUAA